GAUGAACGCUGGCGGCGUGCCUAAUACAUGCAAGUCGAGCGAACAGACGAGAAGCUUGCUUCUCUGAUGUUAGCGGCGGACGGGUGAGUAACACGUGGAUAACCUACCUAUAAGACUGGGAUAACUUCGGGAAACCGGAGCUAAUACCGGAUAAUAUUUUGAACCGCAUGGUUCAAAAGUGAAAGACGGUCUUGCUGUCACUUAUAGAUGGAUCCGCGCUGCAUUAGCUAGUUGGUAAGGUAACGGCUUACCAAGGCAACGAUGCAUAGCCGACCUGAGAGGGUGAUCGGCCACACUGGAAUUGAGACACGGUCCAGACUCCUACGGGAGGCAGCAGUAGGGAAUCUUCCGCAAAGGGCGAAAGCCUGACGGAGCAACGCCGCGUGAGUGAUGAAGGUCUUCGGAUCGUAAAACUCUGUUAUUAGGGAAGAACAUAUGUGUAAGUAACUGUGCACAUCUUGACGGUACCUAAUCAGAAAGCCACGGCUAACUACGUG
rnacentral:rRNA from 1 species